rnacentral:rRNA from 5 species
GUGUGUUCCAGGUAAAUCCGGUUCACUUUAACACUGAGGCGUGACGACGAGGCACUACGGUGCUGAAGCAACAAAUGCCCUGCUUCCAGGAAAAGCCUCUAAGCAUCAGGUAACAUCAAAUCGUACCCCAAACCGACACAGGUGGUCAGGUAGAGAAUACCAAGGCGCUUGAGAGAACUCGGGUGAAGGAACUAGGCAAAAUGGUGCCGUAACUUCGGGAGAAGGCACGCUGACACGUAGGUGAAGUGAUUUACUCAUGGAGCUGAAGUCAGUCGAAGAUACCAGCUGGCUGCAACUGUUUAUUAAAAACACAGCACUGUGCAAACACGAAAGUGGACGUAUACGGUGUGACGCCUGCCCGGUGCCGGAAGGUUAAUUGAUGGGGUCAGCGCAAGCGAAGCUCCUGAUCGAAGCCCCGGUAAACGGCGGCCGUAACUAUAACGGUCCUAAGGUAGCGAAAUUCCUUGUCGGGUAAGUUCCGACCUGCACGAAUGGCGUAAUGAUGGCCAGGCUGUCUCCACCCGAGACUCAGUGAAAUUGAACUCGCUGUGAAGAUGCAGUGUACCCGCGGCAAGACGGAAAGACCCCGUGAACCUUUACUAUAGCUUGACACUGAACAUUGAGCCUUGAUGUGUAGGAUAGGUGGGAGGCUUUGAAGUGUGGACGCCAGUCUGCAUGGAGCCGACCUUGAAAUACCACCCUUUAAUGUUUGAUGUUCUAACGUGGACCCGUAAUCCGGGUUGCGGACAGUGUCUGGUGGGUAGUUUGACUGGGGCGGUCUCCUCCUAAAGAGUAACGGAGGAGCACGAAGGUUGGCUAAUCCUGGUCGGACAUCAGGAGGUUAGUGCAAUGGCAUAAGCCAGCUUGACUGCGAGCGUGACGGCGCGAGCAGGUGCGAAAGCAGGUCAUAGUGAUCCGGUGGUUCUGAAUGGAAGGGCCAUCGCUCAACGGAUAAAAGGUACUCCGGGGAUAACAGGCUGAUACCGCCCAAGAGUUCAUAUCGACGGCGGUGUUUGGCACCUCGAUGUCGGCUCAUCACAUCCUGGGGCUGAAGUAGGUCCCAAGGGUAUGGCUGUUCGCCAUUUAAAGUGGUACGCGAGCUGGGUUUAGAACGUCGUGAGACAGUUCGGUCCCUAUCUGCCGUGGGCGCUGGAGAACUGAGGGGGGCUGCUCCUAGUACGAGAGGACCGGAGUGGACGCAUCACUGGUGUUCGGGUUGUCAUGCCAAUGGCACUGCCCGGUAGCUAAAUGCGGAAGAGAUAAGUGCUGAAAGCAUCUAAGCACGAAACUUGCCCCGA